GUAACAGCAGCAGGGUUUGGAUCUGAUGUAACUGUAUAUUGGCUUAAUUUACACUGGUUUGUUUUGCAACAGCUUCUUGUGCAUGGGGAUGAUCCUAACACUUUUUGCCUUCCUUCCAAAUGAAUGCAAAGAAGAUCUGUGCUCAAUUUUUUCUAGGGAAAGAGUUCUGUUAUCAGGGUGUCACAAAGAGAAGCCCCAACACUGAACUCCAGUCUGAUUUCACAAGCUAAUGAAGUCCAGAGCAGGUCCCUUCUGAGGAUUAGAAAGUGUGU